GGUCACAGUGGCCGAUGAGGUCACAGUGGCCAACGCUUCUCCAUGAUGCUGCUGACGUGAAGCAAAUCCAAGCACCUCAACCUCUGCCUUUCCUUUGACAAAACAGAAGGAAAGCAUCCCAAGGCGCCCGUGCCUAGUGUCCCCAAAAGCUGCGGGCAGGCCAAGGCUGCUUUGAAGGUGGCAUGGAAUUGACUGUGAUCAAUUGUCGCAGUAAAUACUCAAACUCUGUCAUUUGCAUUCUUGGGCUUUUAUACCAACCACACAGAAAAAUACCUGCUUAUUAUUUAAUGUAAGUGAUAAGCUCAGACUACGGAACAAAUGCAUUUGCGAGUUGGAUGUCAGUCUUAGAUGACAUCAGGAUAUCAAAGGAAAGACUAAGCACUGGUUUGUGUCCAUCUCUCCAUCACUUGAAGCUUCCAGGUCAGCGCUGCCCAGUGUGAGGUCCGUUUCCACUUCAAGGCAGCAGUGGUGUCUGUGGACCAUGGUGCGCUGAGUCAGCGGGAUGUCCCCGUGAAAAAUGAUGCUCUUGCCUAGAGGAGGCCACGUGAUAAUCAGACAGACAUGAGAGCCUAUAGACACAUGGGGCUGUGUCAAACUUGAAAGCUUCUGCACAGCUGAAGAAACCAUCUGACUGCAAAAGGAGCCUGCCGAAUGGGGAAGAGAUUUGCCAACCAUGUAUUGGACAAGGCGAUAAGAGCCAAAAUAUAUGAACAACUCCUACAACUCAACAAAAAAACAUGUAGCCUUAUUUUAAAAAGGCAGAGGAUCCAAAUAAGCAUCUCACCAAAGAAGUUGUAUAGAUGUCAGUGACACGAGAUGUCUUACAUCAGAGAUCAUCAGGGAAGUGCGAAAACCACAGUGAGAUUUUACCCCACAAUGGUUAGAAUACUUAUCAAAAAGUCAAAUUAGUGGUUAUGAGGAUGUGGAGUAAAAGGGACCCUUGUGCACUGCUGGGGAUAUAAAUUGGUGCAACUACCAUGGGAAACAGCAUGGGAAUGCCUCAAAUUAAAAGCAGGUCUCCCCUAUGACCUAGUAAUCCCACUUCUGGGAGUUUACCCAAAGAAUAUGAAAACACCAAUUGGGAAAAAAAAAAACAAAACACAUGUGCCUAUAUGUUAAUUGCAGCACUAGUCACAGUGGCUAAGGCAGGGAACCAGCCCGUGUGUGAGCGCAGGUGAAUUGAUAAGAUGUGGUAUACGCGCACAGUGGCAUACUCUGCUAUCAAAAUGAUGAAAUCUUGCCAUUUGCAACAACAUAAAUGGACCGUGAGAUAAUGUUUGAGCAGGACUGGGCCGCCCUGUGACACUGCACUCAGAGGAAGAAAGUUCUGGAAGAUCUUCCCAAAUGUUUUGACAUUAUGCCCGACAGAGAAACUCAGAUGCCUUUUUAAAUUAAAAGGAAGAAGAGGCCCUGACUUUAGUUAGAGGACACACCUGCCCUUGGAGUUAAUCACCCAAUUAACGUGCAAGAUGCUUUCCUGAGCACAUCGUAAUGGAUAUAAUAAACAAAGACAAGUCUCUGCUCAGAAGAGAUUCCACUGUUUUCAGAGGAAAAUUCUACCAUUUUCUUCGGCAUGAUGUUGGAAAAUUAGUAAACUCUGUUCCAUUAUUUUUAAAUAAAGGAUCAUGGGCAGCCCUGCCUGGCCGCCUCUGAGCCCCAGUGCCAGGCUGAGGGUCACACCCUCACUUCACUGUAUCUCCCUAUCUUGUCACCAAGCCCCAGUGAGGAAGUGCUGUCAAGAGAAGCCACCUCUGUGGUGGACAUCACCACCUUCACCUCAGUCACAGCGGCCUCAGCCCGCACGGCCCUCCCCGAGCCUGGCAGCCUCUGCCAGGGCCCUCUUGGAGGGAGAGCUGCCAGUACAUGUGAGAACUGCCCUACUCCCAGUGUGAGGAGCAUGGAGAAGCUCAGCCUGGGGACAGGCGGCUCCAUUGGCAGCUCCUAGGAGGAAGUGACCUUUGUCCCGUUCUGCCUUUGAACCUACUGGAAACGCCUUUGCAAUGCUGAUUUGUGGUGAUAAAAUUGAAGGAAAAGCAAAAAGCUCCCAGGCUGAGUCAGAUGCAACCCUUUUGUGCCCAGGAAGAAAUUUUCACAACUGUGCAAAGCUUCACAGUGGAUGACUCAGUGGGUGACAGGCCCAAGACAAUGAUCUGAGCGCAUGGGGGCCAGGUCCUCAGAAUGCAAGACUACUUGGUCAUGCUUUUUUCAUUCUAGAAUCUUUAAAAAAAAAUUCAAGUAUUUUUAUUGAGGUCAUGUUGACUUUCAACACUGCAUGUGAUUUUGGGGGCAGGUUCACGCCUCUUCAGAGGCACGUUACACCCACACCCAUCACCACCCCAGCCCCCCGCUACAGUGGAAGCUUAGUCUGCCAUAUUGAGUAUUGAGCAAGAAGUUGCACUUUCAGAAUGAGUCAAUUAAACAGAUAAUCAAGAACAAGAACUACCGAAAACUGAAGAGUGGGAAGCUCGACCUUGGAAGGCUCUCUGAUCGCCACCAGCGGACUCCAAAAAUCCUAGAGUAAAGCUUCUAAAACUUGAAGACAAGUAUGGACUUGAAAACAUCCAUUGUAGGUUUUUUUCACAUGAGAAGAUGUGCAUCUAUUUUUUUUCUAUGGCAGCUGAAUUAAUUGCCUUCUUUGAUUUUGAAGUUAUACUCUAUGCAGCCAAAUUAGCAAGCGGAGAUAAGAUUAGGGCAGC